CUGCCUUUCGUGGGUUGAAGACCGCAUUAGGGCGCCCCCUAGUGGACAUUUUAUUGUUUGUUUUGAUGACGUUAAAAGGAAAGGGGGAAGGGAGGUGUAAAUCCAAGAUGGUGGAACGCAGCACCAAGCAGUUGUGCACUAAGCUGAUUAUUAUCUUUCACGUUGUGUUUCGGACGAGAUUUGUUUCCUACGACGGCUAAAGUGAUGGCAGUGGUUGGAGGCCACUCUGCAAUAAACAACUGAAAA